GUUUUAAUAGUUUACUCAAAACUUUGGUCUUGUAAACCAAAAAUGAAAUAAUAUUUCUUAAAACU
rnacentral:tRNA from 1 species